CUCAGACCGAUUCGGACCAAUCACUACUUACUGACGUCUUCUGAUCCCAAAACGGCGAAGUCAGUCAAUGGCGACUGAAUUGACUUAAUUUCAUUGGAGAUAAGAGACACUGGAGUCCACCCAAAUACUGGAAAGGUGGUCACCCUGGACAGUUUGUCAGUCCUUCACACCUUAGGGACAAUUUAGGACAAUGAACCGUUUGACCCUGUUGGACUGUGGGAGCUGAAGGGUCCAGAGACCACCCCCACAUGCAUGAGAACACAGAAAGCACCCCUGGGAUUUGAACCAGCGCCUUCCCGCUGUGAGUAUAGAGUGAUGUAGAUUGUGUGUAAUUUGACAUUUCUAUGCUGCAGUUGUAGACGUUUAUACAAUGAACCGAUAAUCUCUAAGAUUACGAUUAUGAGCGAUGUAAAUAAAGAGAAAUGAUCUUUUUGACCGGUUUACUUCAGACACAUCAUCAAACUAUAAAUUCACUCUUUCUAUGAAUUCACCCUCUAUAACUCCCCAGUUAUAAAGAGAUUUGAAGUCUAUAAAUAUCAAAACAGCUGAUUUUAAAAAAUCAAACACUUACCUUACAGUUAUAAAAGAAUCAGCAAACAGCAGGAGACACUUCACAAAAAAAAAAAAAAAA